rnacentral:lncRNA from 1 species
UCUUAUGCUAUAACUUUACGGGUACAGUUACAUAAAGAUUAUUUACUCUCUGGCAUAAUGUUCUCUCUAGGAGCUGUAGAACAAAGGACAUUCUCCCUGAAGAUGCCCAUUCCUUUUUGAGCAGAGGGAAACAGGAAGACCGUGAUUACAGUAUUUUAACUAUUAUCAUCCAGAACAUUAGUACUUAAAUGGGUAGAGCAGGAACUCAAUAAACACUUAAUUGAUUGACUUUUUUCUCUCUUUGACCCACAUCUCAGUUCACCUAUACACACCAUUUAUCUCUGUUCUUACUCUGAAGCCCCGUGGAUUCUUCAUCUUUUCAUAGCACGGAAGGAAUGGUGCGGUCCUCAGCCUGCGUGAAUGGGCCUGGCUUCCAAAUGCAGUUGGGAUGGAUAGUGGGGAUUCUAUUAAGUCAAGAGGACAGGAGGAAAAGGGAUUCAUUUUUAAUUACCUAGAGCCCAAUACCAAGAGGAACCCAGGGAAUUGUGUAAUCCACACGACCUCCCGUGAACUACUGUUGUAUAAAUGGGGAAACUGAGGCUCUGAGGAAUAACUGAAAGUAAUGGCACUGGGUUUGAACGUCGGUCCUUGUGAGUCUAGACUCUUUUCACUACCCGUCUCCUCCUGGCGAUUACUUCUUCAAAAAUUCUACUACGGGCCCUGAGGACGGAGAGGAGAGGACUGCAAACCCUCUGCCGGCCAACUCGAUCUCUUGCGAGAAGUGUUAUGAAUUCUCCUGAUCCCCUCCCUCAAGAAGACAAGGUUCGGAACAAGGGCUGGUAAGAGAGGAGGGGAAGGUUUAGUGCUCCGGAGACGCUGCGCAAGGGAACGGAUGGGGCACGCCCACCAACGGGUGGCUGCCUCUGAGUUCCAUCCCAGGGAUGCGGGGCUUUCCUCUCCAUCCAGUGUGAGUGCACUUGCCACCCAAAGGCUAAGCGUGCAGAAUCCGCAGGCCAGGAGCACGCCCCGGGAGACGCCGGGCGCCUCCCCGCGGCCUCGGCGCACGUGCCUGGGCUAGGGCCAGAGCUAGUGGCCGCGCCGUAGUAGCUGGGCGGGUGGGAGCGGCUGGCUCCGGGCCGCGGCCGCCGCCCGCCCGCCGGCUCCGGUGGUUGGGCGGAGGAAGCGCGGGACUCCUCCUCCCCACCGUAUUAACAUGCACCCAGGGGCGGGUGACCAGCCCAGCCUCGCCGCCCCAGCCCGCAGCGUCCCGGCGCUCAGCCUCCGCGCCAGAGGCGAGCGCUGCGCUCCCGGCGCCGCAAUCCCGAGGACACGGCCUCGCCGACACCUCCAGCUCCGGGGACUCGGCAGCAUCAGCGGCGGGAGCGGCCGCAGCCGCCUCGGCUUCUCUCUUGAGUCCUUCCCAUCACCUCGCUGAGAGCCUGUCCCGCCGCAGGGACACCUCUUUCGUCCUCCCUCCGAGGCUCGUGGUACAGACAGACGGACGCAGGCACAGAGGGCCGGACUGCGGGCAGCGGCAAGCACACAGUGAACGGUGCUCUCGAGCGCCACCUUCUCUGAUUACUGCUCACACCUUUUCCUGGGAUACUUUCUUGAAAGGAUCAGCGAACAUUUACUCAUAUAUCAUCCCAGAUUAAUGGAGUUGUCGCAGAGCAGAUUACGUUUGUCUCAUUAAGACUGGGGAUUUCAGAAGCCGGCCACCAGCACGAGGCCUGUGGAUAAAAAUCUUGAACUGCUAUGGUACUUUGAAUCUGAAGAUCAAUCUCCAAGUGUCUUGAAAGCAUUCAGCUUCAAAAAUUCUUGAAA